rnacentral:lncRNA from 1 species
CGGGACCGGUAGGGGUGCUGUUGCCAUCAUGGCUGACCCCGACCCCCGGUACCCUCGCUCCUCGAUCGAGGACGACUUCAACUAUGGCAGCAGCGUGGCCUCCGCCACCGUGCACAUCCGAAUGGCCUUUCUGAGAAAAGUCUACAGCAUUCUUUCUCUGCAGGUUCUCUUAACUACAGUGACUUCAACAGUUUUUUUAUACUUUGAGUCUGUACGGACAUUUGUACAUGAGAGUCCUGCCUUAAUUUUGCUGUUUGCCCUCGGAUCUCUGGGUUUGAUUUUUGCGUUGAUUUUAAACAGACAUAAGUAUCCCCUUAACCUGUACCUACUUUUUGGAUUUACGCUGUUGGAAGCUCUGACUGUGGCAGUUGUUGUUACUUUCUAUGAUGUAUAUAUUAUUCUGCAAGCUUUCAUACUGACUACUACAGUAUUUUUUGGUUUGACUGUGUAUACUCUACAAUCUAAGAAGGAUUUCAGCAAAUUUGGAGCAGGGUAAUUUUUUUUUUAUAGUGAGAUAAUGGAGUUGGUCUUAGCCGCUGCAGGAGCCCUUCUUUUCUGUGGAUUCAUCAUCUAUGACACACACUCACUGAUGCAUAAACUGUCACCUGAAGAGUACGUAUUAGCUGCCAUCAGCCUCUACUUGGAUAUCAUCAAUCUAUUCCUGCACCUGUUACGGUUUCUGGAAGCAGUUAAUAAAAAGUAAUUAAAAGUAUCUCAGCUCAACUGAAGAACAACAAAAAAAAUUUAAUGAGAAAAAAGGAUUAAAGUAAUUGGAAGCAGUAUAUAGAAACUGUUUCAUUAAGUAAUAAAGUUUGAAACAAUGAUUAAAUACUGUUACAAUCUUUAUUUGUAUCAUAUGUAAUUUUGAGAGCUUUAAAAUCUUACUAUUCUUUAUGAUACCUCAUUUCUAAAUCCUUGAUUUAGGAUCUCAGUUAAGAGCUAUCAAAAUUCUAUUAAAAAUGCUUUUCUGGCUGGGCACAGUGGCUCACGCCUGUAAUCCCACCACUUUGGGAGACCGAGGCAGGUGGAUCACGAGGUCAAGAGGUUGAGACCAUCCUGGCCAACAUGGUGAAACCCCGUCUCUACU